rnacentral:ncRNA from 1 species
AGAAUGUAGGUAAGGGAAGUCGGCGAAUUAGAUUCGCAACUUCGGGAUACGGAUUGGCUCUGAAGAUUGAGGUCGUCGGGCUUGAUUGGGAAGCAAUAAUAUGGUUUAUGUACUGGUUUGGGUAAAUACAAAUUUUCGGAUCUUAUCCCUCGGAUAGCAGUUACGUAAACAAUUGUGGAACUUUGUUGCUGAAACUUUUAAGGGAUUAUCGCAAGAUAUAUUCUUUUUAAAUUAUAACGAUUAUCAAUUAACAAUCAAUUUAGAGCUGGCACGGACUUGGAGAAUCUGACUGUCUAAUUAAAAGAAAGCAUUGUGAUGGCCCUAACGGGUGUUGACACAAUGUGAUUUCUGCCCAGUGCUCUGAAUGUCAAAAUGAAGAAAUUCAAGUAAGCGCGGGUAAACGGCGGGAGUAGCUAUGACUCUCUCGCGUAACUAUGACAACCAACUAGCAAUUAAAAGAGAGAGUCACAGAGAUGCCUAUUCUCACCUCCUC